AUAAAAUAAUUAUAUUUUUGAAAAUUUAUUAUAAAUUUAUUUUACAUAUAAAUUUUAGUAUAUAAUUUUAAUUAUUUAAAUAAUAAUUAAUUUAAAUUUACAAUAAAGUAGUAAUUAAUAUUAAAAAUUUAAGAAAUUAAGAUUUAGUAAUAUAAAAAUUAAUAACUAAUUUUGUGCCAGCAGUUGCGGUUAAACAAAAGUUAAAUUAAAUUAUUUCAGUUUAUAAUAAAUAAAAUACUUUAUUAAAAUAAAUAUUAAAUUAUUAAGUGAAAUUUUAAUUUAAUUAAAUUUUAUAUAAUUAUUAUGAUUUAAUAAAUUUUAAUAUAAACUAGGAUUAGAUACCCUAUUAUUAAAAAUUUAAUUUAUAAUACUAAAAUAGUAAAUAAUAAUUUAUUGAAACUUAAAUAAUAUGGCGGUAUUUUAGUUCAUUUAGAGGAAUCUGUCUAAUAAUUGAUAAUCCACGAAUAAAUUUACUUAAUUUAUAAUUUUGUAUAUCAUUGUUAAAAAAAUAUUUUUUAGUAAAAAUAAUAUUUAAAUUUUAUUAAAAAAGUUAAAUCAGAUCAAGAUGCAGAAUAUAAUUAAGAAUAUGAUGGAUUACAUUAAAUAUAUUUAAAUGAAUAAUUUUAUUGUAAUAUAAAUUUGAAGGUGGAUUUAAAUGUAAUUUUAAUUAAUUUAUUGAAAUGAUUAAUAAUUAAAAUAUGUACAUAUUGCCCGUCACUUUCAUUUAAAAGUUGAAAUAAGUCGUAACAAAGUAGAGGUACUGGAAAGUGUUUCUAGAAAGA
rnacentral:ncRNA from 1 species